rnacentral:rRNA from 1 species
AACACGGACCAAGGAGUCUAACAUGUGCGCGAGUCAUUGGGUUGAACUCUAAACCUAAAGGCGCAAUGAAAGUGAAGGUCCUGCUCCGGCGGACCGAGGGAAGCUGGGGCGCGCUACGGUGCACCCCCGCMUUCCCGGGGCGUCUCGUUCUCAUUGCGAGUUGAGGCGCACCCAGAGCGUACACGUUGGGACCCGAAAGAUGGUGAACUAUGCCUGGCCAGGACGAAGUCAGGGGAAACCCUGAUGGAGGUCCGUAGCGAUUCUGACGUGCAAAUCGAUCGUCGGAGCUGGGUAUAGGGGCGAAAGACUAAUCGAACCAUCUAGUAGCUG